GUCCACGCCCUAACGAUGUCAACUGGUUGUUGGGUCUUCACUGACUCAGUAACGAAGCUAACGCGUGAAGUUGACCGCCUGGGAGUACGGCCGCAAGGUUGAACUCAAGGAAUUGACGGGACCCGCACAAGCGGUGGAUGAUGUGGUUUAAUUCGAUGCAACGCGAAACCUUACCACCUUUGACAUGUACGGAAGUCGCUAGAGAUAGCUUCGUGCUCGAAAGAGAACCGUAACACAGGUGCUGCAUGGCUGUCGU
rnacentral:rRNA from 1 species